rnacentral:rRNA from 1 species
AGAGUUUGUACUCUCGGCGUCAGGACGAACGCUGCGGCGUGCUUAACACAUGCAAGUCGACGAUGAAGCCCAGCUUGCUGGUGGAUUAGUGGCGAACGGGUGAGUAACACGUGAGUCAACGUGCCCAUAACUCUGGGAUAACUCCGGAAACGGUGGCUAAUACUGGAUAUCUAACACGAUCGCAUGGUCUGUGUUUGGAAAGAUUUUUUGGUUAUGGAUCGGCUCACGGCCUAUCAGCUUGUUGGUGAGGUAAUGGCUCACCAAGGCGACGACGGGUAGCCGGCCUGAGAGGGUGACCGGCCACACUGGGACUGAGACACGGCCCAGACUCCUACGGAAGGCGGCAGUGGGGGAAUAUUGCACAAUGGGCGAAAGCCUGAUGCAGCAACGCCGCGUGAGGGAUGACGGCCUUCGGGUUGUAAACCUCUUUUAGUAGGGAAGAAGCGAAAGUGACGGUACCUGCAGAAAAAGCACCGGCUAACUACGUG